GCCCCCCCUCUCCUUGUUCCCUCCCACUUAGCUCCACCUCUCCCUGUCCCCCCCUUAGCUCCACCUCUCCCUGUCCCCCCCUUAGCCCCCCCUCUCCCUGUCCCCCCCUUAGCCCCACCUCUCCUUGUCUUACUUCCCAAUCAAUCCUUUCCAGAACAGGUCCGUACAACAGCGGGACUGCUAGCUGUGUGUGUGUGUGUGGAUCUCAAGGGGGAGUUUUACACAGGUGUGUGAGACACUCCUGCGUCUUCGUCUAGCGAGGCCGUCCUUCCAAACGUCACGGAAACCUGGGCUUCUGAGGCCGUCUGGAUCUCAAUGUUGCUACAUGUCUGUCGGUAGUGACUGUCUGAACCAGUAGGGGACUUUAACAGGGCUCGUACUCACAAAGCCUCUGAGUGGUCGUGCUGAUCUAGGAUCAGGUCCCCUCUUAUUCAUUAUGAUCUAGGAUCAGGUCCCCUCUUAUUCAUUAUGAUCUAGGAUCAGGUCCCCUCUUAUUCAUUAUGAUCUAGGAUCAGGUCCCCUCUUAUUCAUUAUGAUCUAAGAUCAGGUCCCCUCUUAGUCAUUAUGACCAGUAGUAGUGCUGAUCUAGGAUCAGGUCCCUCUUAUCCAUUAUAACCUACAGCCAAAACUGAUGCUAGAUCAGCACUCCUGUUCUGAGACGCUUUGUGAACACGGCCCUGAUAUGUUAGAGCUGUGAUGUGGUGGCCAACUCUUGUCCUGGGGAGCUACGCUCCUGCAGGGAUUUGUUCCGGCCCAACAGUCAUAGACUUUAUCUUUGUUUUUCUGCUAUCCUCUCGUUUUGAGAAAGUGUAAAUAAAUAAAAAUACCUUUAUUUCAUCAGA